GUGGGGAAUCUUCCGCAAUGGGCGAAAGCCUGACGGAGCAACGCCGCGUGAAUGAAGAAGGCCUUCGGGUCGUAAAGUUCUGUCUUUAGGGACGAACAGCCUUAUGCGAAUAGUUUAAGGUAUGACGGUACCUGAGGAGGAAGCUCCGGCUAACUACGUGCCAGCAGCCGCGGUAAUACGUAGGGAGCAAGCGUUGUCCGGAAUUACUGGGCGUAAAGGGCGCGUAGGUGGAUGCUUAAGUCAGAUGUGAAAACUCCGGGCUCAACUUGGAGAUUGCAUUUGAAACUGGGCAUCUUGAGGGUAGGAGAGGAAAGUGGAAUUCCUAGUGUAGCGGUGAAAUGCGUAGAUAUUAGGAGGAACACCAGUGGCGAAGGCGACUUUCUGGACUAUACCUGACACUGAGGCGCGAAAGCGUGGGGAGCGAACGGGA
rnacentral:rRNA from 1 species